rnacentral:misc_RNA from 2 species
GUACCUUCAAGCUCUGCUUGGUGUUGGGUGUUUGUCCCGCUUUCUGCGUGGACUCGCCUCAAAGCAAUUGGCAGCCGGCGUACUAGCCUGGGAGCGCAGCACAUUUUGCGUCUCUCGACUGGAAACACUGGCGUCCAUGAAGCCUAUACUCUUGC